UCAGGAUGAACGCUAGCUACAGGCUUAACACAUGCAAGUCGAGGGCAGCAUGAGCUUAGCUUGCUAAGCUGAUGGCGACGGCGCACGGUGAGUAACGCGUAUCCAACUUCCCCUUAGUAGGGCAUAGCCCGGUGAAAAUCGGAUUAAUACCCUAUGUUCUUCACAGCGGACAUCUAACGUGAAGCAAAGGUUCACCGCUAAGGGAUGGGGAUGCGUCUGAUUAGGUAGUCGGCGGGUAACGGCCACCGAGCCAUCGAUCAGUAGGGGUUCUGAGAGGAAGGUCCCCCACAUUGGAACUGAGACACGGUCCAAACUCCUACGGGAGGCAGCAGUGAGGAAUAUUGGUCAAUGGUCGAGAGACUGAACCAGCCAAGUAGCGUGCAGGAUGACGGCCCUAUGGGUUGUAAACUGCUUUUAUGCGGGGAUAAAGUCACCCACGUGUGGGUGUUUGCAGGUACCGCAUGAAUAAGGACCGGCUAAUUCCGUGCCAGCCGCCGC
rnacentral:rRNA from 1 species